AUAUUCGCGAAGUCUCUGAGGCUGAGCCAGUGGCGUAAGGGGCGCCGAGCGCUGUCGAGAUGAGGGUUGCGUGCGUAAAGCCGGAGAGCCCUUUUGAGUCUGCGUUGGCGUGGCUGCUGCUUCUUGCUCCAGUCCCUUUGUUCACUGAGUCCAUAUGCCAUGCUCCAGUUGUAUCAUCCCCUUUUCCCUCGACCUCGUUUUCUCACCGGGAAUAUGGGAAGAAAACGCACCCUUACCUCCCCCGAACCCUGUGCGUGGCGAGUGAGCAUUGCUUUUCUUGGCGCCCCUUGGAGCUGUGGCUGCCCUCGCGUGCCUGGCCUCUCCCGGGGCUGAGCCCUUCGGGUUGAGGCCUGGAGCCCCCGGGCGCAGCGCCGGGACACUACCCGGCUCCAGGUCCUCGGCUUCGGCAGCCUUAGGGAACCCAGAAAGUAGUGGGGAGGAGGCGAGACGUGCGCCCGGAUGCCAAAGGGGAGCUUCAUUCAGCUCCUUAUUGGCCCACCCCCUGCAGAGUGAAUGAGAAAGUGAUGAAAGGAAGGGGUUGAUUUUCUUCGAACCGCACAGAAGAAGCUGCUUUUCCCAUAGGAAUGUCCGGCUGGCGGUCACCGAGGAAAACACCCUGUGUGUCAGACUUCCGCGGGUGUUUGGAGGAUUUCGAAUUGCUAGCUCCUGUUUUUUUUUGUUUUUUGUUUGUUUAAGUGCACGUUAAACAUUGUCAGUUGUGUAUUUUCAUUUUAUUUAAGGUUCACCAUAAGAAAUAGGAUUAAGCUUUUCAAAGCCGGCAAGUUGAACUAUUUAUACUUACCAGGUAAUGUAUUGAUGAGUACCUUAUUCCAUCGUUUGCGACAUUGUAGCUAUACUAAAAUGGAGUCAUACUUCCAUAAACUUAAACAACAAAAAUGUCCCCAUCUCCAUUUUAACAUGUAGUACUUUUACAGUGUAUAGUCAAAGGCAAGAAUGUGUGUGUUUUAACAUGAAUGACUUUUAAAGUGUUCAGUAAGAGGCAGGAUUUUCAAAGACCCAAACUUAACCUUUGAUGUGUCAAAACAGCUCUUGGUAUUAGAGCACCUGGUCCUUAAUACAAUUUUCCGGAAAAUUGCAGUUUUUCCUACGACAUUUAAAUGUAAUAGAAGGCUGUGGUGUGGCUCUGAAGGUUUUUAACACAAUUCCAACAUCUGUAGAUCUUUGCUAUAGAAUAGUCACCAUUCCCUACUUUACUGUUACUACACUUAUUGCUAUUACAUCAAUUUUACUUGAACUUUAAAACUUGGAAGAGAUAUUCUAAAAAAAAAAAAAAACUAUUUUGGGGUGGUGGUGGUGGUGCAAGUUUUGUUUUAAAUACAAGAGGUUUCACUUUGUAUUUCUUUGGACCCUUCUAGCUUCAUGAUAACACGAGAAUAAUGUUUCUUUAUAAUUUCUG
rnacentral:lncRNA from 1 species